rnacentral:rRNA from 1 species
GAUGAACGCUGGCGGCGUGCCUAAUACACGCAAGUCGAGCGAACGGACGAGAAGCUUGCUUUUCUGAUGUUAGCGGCGGACGGGUGAGUAACACGUGGAUAACCUACCUAUAAGACUGGGAUAACUUCGGGAAACCGGAGCUAAUACCGGAUAAUAUUUUGAACCGCAUGGUUCAAAAGUGAAAGACGGUCUUGCUGUCACUUAUAGAUGGAUCCGCGCUGCAUUAGCUAGUUGGUAAGGUAACGGCUUACCAAGGCAACGAUGCAUAGCCGACCUGAGAGGGUGAUCGGCCACACUGGAACUGAGACACGGUCCAGACUCCUACGGGAGGCAGCAGUAGGGAAUCUUCCGCAAUGGGCGAAGGCCUGACGGAGCAACGCCGCGUGAGUGAUGAAGGUCUUCGGACCGUAAAACUCUGUUAUUAGGGAAGAACAUAUGUGUAAGUAACUGUGCACAUCUUGACGGUACCUAAUCAGAAAGCCACGGCUAACUACGUG